rnacentral:tRNA from 2 species
GGGUGAUUAGCUCAGUUGGUAGAGCAGCUGACUCUUAAUCAGCGGGUCCACGGUUGAGCCCGUGAUCACCCACCA